GGCUCGGACAGGCGGUCCGCCUCACGGUGUGUACUGUCGGUUCGGGCCUUACCUCUUGGUGAACCCGCAUGGCCUUUACUGGUUGUGCGGGCGAACCAGGACCUUUACCUUGAGAAAAUUAGAGUGUUUAAAGCAAGUGAAUAACAGCCUGAAUACAUUAGCAUGGAAUAAUAGAAUAGG
rnacentral:rRNA from 1 species